rnacentral:rRNA from 1 species
GUAAUACCUGCCCAGUGCGAAAUAUUAAUGUAAACGGCCGCCCUAGCGUGAGGGUGCUAAGGUAGCGAAAUUCCUUGCCUUUUGAUUGUAGGCCUGCAUGAAUGGUUUAACGAGGGUUUAGCUGUCUCUAAAUUUUUAAUUGAAAUUGUAUUGAAGGUGAAGAUACCUUCAUUUAAAAGUUAGACAAAAAGACCCCGUGCAACUUUGAAAAUUAACUUUAUUCAGGGGUAAAAGAUUUUUAGGUGGGGCGCCUAGAAAGUAAGCCUAACCUUUCUGAGUAGGAGUUUCUUUCAGGAGUUGACCCGAUUAUAUUCGAUCAUAGGAGAAGUUACGCCGGGGAUAACAGGCUAAUCCUUUAGUAGAGCUCGUAUUGGCUAAAGGGAUUGGCACCUCGAUGUUGAAUCAGGGAUGAUAGCUUCAAGGCGUAGAGGCUU